CACCAUGCUAUGGAGGAUGGUGUAGAUGUGCCUGGGUCUAGUCAGGUUAUAGAUGGUGCUGUAGAUGAGGCUGGGUCUAGUCAGGUUAUAGAUGGUGGUGUAGAUGAGGCUGGGUCUAGUCAGGUUAUAGAUGGUGGUGUAGAUGAGGCUGGGUCUAGUCAGGUUAUAGAUGGUGGUGUAGAUGAGGCUGGGUCUAGUCAGGUUAUAGAUGGUGGUGGUGUAGAUGAGGCUGGGUCUAGUCAGGUUAUAGAUGGUGGUGUAGAUGAGGCUGGGUCUAGUCAGGUUAUAGAUGGUGGUGGUGUAGAUGAGGCUGGGUCUAGUCAGGUUAUAGAUGGUGG
rnacentral:lncRNA from 1 species